CAUUUGAAAUUUCGUAACAAUUAAUGUUGAGGGGGUUUUAAAAAGGAAUAUAUAUAUAUAUAUAUAUAGUCCGGCUGAAAUAUUAUCGAUAGCAUCAAAGAUUUGGUGCUAUCGAGUUUUCUACCGUUAGAUUUAAUCCUUUGAUUAUUUUUACUCGUUAGAUUAUACUAUUCAACUAACCACUCACUCAACUCUAACCCACAUCAUCCUAACCACACAUUUCUCAAUCCAAGGGCUAAAAAACUAACAGCACUAUUGCUUGCUGCUAUUGAUAGUAUUCCAGCCUAAUUCUAUAUAUAUAUAUAUAUAGAAUUAGGCUGGAAUACUAUCAAUAGUACUAAUUUGGUGCUAUUAAGUUUUCUGUCCUUGGAUUAAAAAAUAUGCAGUUAGGAUGAUGUGCCCCCUAUAGUUG
rnacentral:lncRNA from 1 species